GUGAGUUACAGAUUGAAACAAAUAAACAGUAAGAUUGAAUAAACAGUUUAUUUUAUUUAUUUUGCUCAUAGUUAACUUUUACUGACAAUUCUUUCCCUCUACUAUCCAGGGGAAUUUAUAUAUGGAUGACCUUCAAAUUCAUUCCAGCUUUACCAGUAUAGCAGUUUAUUGAACAGUUGUUCCAGAUUUCCUUGAACCAGAUAUUAAAAUAAGCUAUGACCUUAUCUGAACAAAAAACUGUACAUGCACUUUUGCUUCCAUCAUGGCUUACAUCUACACUCAGAAUUGUAUCUAAGAUUGGGGCAGUUGUUAGAUACAAUUCUGAGUCACUUUCUUCUGAAAUAACAUUACUUUCUUCUGAUGUAACAUUACUUGAAUUUCAAUAAUAAAUUCAUUUUUCACUUUCAUUGUUAUAUUAGAUUGCAUUGCACAUAUGAUCUGAAUCUAUUAAAAAUGCUCAGCCAAACAUCAUGAAGUGUAGAUUGAAGUAGCUUUCUCUAUAUGCACAAUGCACAAUGGUAUACUUCAAACUGCAUUAUGGCACUAUAAUUUAUAGCUCACUUUGUCAUCAGUCCUCCAGAUGCUUGAUGCUACCAAGAGGAUUAGGCUUUCAACAGAUGCCUUCUGUACAUUACUUAUCCAGAACCUUUAUGCAGACACUCAAGUCAUUACAAUAAUUUGUCCGCCUCAAAGCACAGACUGCACUUUCAUUAUGGAACAAUACUUUUUAUCCAUCUUACUGAACUUUACUUGCUGUCAUACAAUCCUAUACUCUGAUGUUUGGGAUAUACAUGCAAAAUGUUGAUGUCAGUAUCUCUCUUCUUCUUGAUUACAUUGCUAUCACUCCAUGUAACUUUUUUGCACCAUGGAAAUGGUCUCUAGCCAGUGUAAACUUAGAACUUACAAAGUAUUUUAAGGACCUGACCUUAUUAUUAAUCUAUUCUUCAUUAUUUAAUGCACAUUGUCAAUUUUUCAUCAGUUUAUUCACACACAACACACACAGUUCUAUAAGGAAUGGAUGUAUUAACUCUAUAUGUAUUUGUAUCAUUUAUGUUACGAAGAACUGUCCAUCCAGAUGAUGAUCUUCAUAUCCUUGGAAUCCAUUUCUUUUCUAGAACUUGAUGUACCCUCCAUUGCCAAAACAAACAUUAAUUAUCAUUCUCUUAUUGCUAAGAAGAUGCGCAUAACCCAUCAACAUAAAAGUCAAUUCUUUUAAUUAAAGUGAAUGUUAAAAUUCUUUAUUAGCAAUUUAACUGAUUAAAGAAAAAAUAGUUAUGGACAAAAUUGAAAAAUUAGUUAUAAACAAAUCUAAUAUUCAACUACAUCUAUAAAUGCUCUACAAACAUCACCAAAGUUAUUCAAUUGGUAAAACGUUUUCGGACCUUCUUCCGGUCCCUCUUCAGUACAGCUUUUCUUAAGAACAAAUUAAUUUAAAACAAUCGAACAAUAGAACAUCUAAUAAUAAUCUGUUACAAAAACUUUAAGAAUACAAAAUUUAAAUUAAACUAUAGAACAAAGUUAGUUCUAUAUCAUUAACAUAAAAAGAUUAAAACUGUUUAAUAAGCAAUUAAAUACAGAAGUCAGUAUAAUACAUUAAGUAGCUCAGUAUACAUACAUAUAAAAAUCAAACACAAAGAGAGUAAUAAUAAAAUAUAGAGGGGAAAAAACCAAAAACCUAGUUCUAUAAAACAUAUACAUCUAAACUAACUUAGAGCUAGUAAGGCUUUUGCUUAGGGGUCAAAAAGAUUAACUCAAGACAUCAUAAAAAGUUCCUUAGGGUAACAGGAUUAGCCAGGUCUUGGUAGAGAACAACGUAAAGCUAUCAUGAAUCUAUUUUAAACGUCUCUACAUGUUAGACAUACAUAAACACCCCAUAGGGUAACUCACUAUCACAACCAUUCUGUCACACACCACUUCCAGGAGGAGGGAAGCACCACAGGGCUUUCAUCAUUAAUGGUGUCCUUAAGGUGUGCCAUUCUUUCUAAAUCAAUAGCUUCC
rnacentral:lncRNA from 1 species